AGGUAAGCUACUAAGAGCGAAUGGUGGAUGCCUUGACUGGUAGAGGCGAUGAAGGACGUACUAGACUGCGAUAAGCUAGGUGGAGCUGUCAAGAAGCUUUGAUGCCUAGAUUUCCGAAUGGGGCAACCCAGUAUAUAGAGAUAUAUACUACCAUAAUGGAGCGAACGAGGGGAAUUGAAACAUCUUAGUACCCUCAGGAAAAGAAAUCAAACGAGAUUGCGUCAGUAGCGGCGAGCGAAAGCGUAAGAGGGCAAACCCAGUGCUUGCACUGGGGGUUGUAGGACUGCAAUGUGCAAGAGGAAAGGUUAGCAGAACACUCUGGAAAGUGUAGCCAUAGAGGGUGAUAGUCCCGUAUGCAAAAACCUAACCUUAGCUAGCAGUAUCCUGAGUAGGGCGGGACACGAGAAAUCCUGUCUGAAGCUGGGUAGACCACUAUCCAACCCUAAAUACUCCUACCAGAUCGAUAGCGAACAAGUACCGUGAGGGAAAGGUGAAAAGAACGGCGGUGAGCCGAGUGAAAUAGAACCUGAAACCAUUUGCUUACAAUCAUUCAGAGCACUAUGUAGCAAUACAGUGUGAUGGACUGCCUUUUGCAUAAUGAGCCUGCGAGUUGUGGUGUCUGGCAAGGUUAAGCUAACGCGAAGCCGUAGCGAAAGCGAGUCUGAAUAGGGCGCUAAGUCAGAUGCUGCAGACCCGAAACGAAGUGAUCUAUCCAUGAGCAGGUUGAAGCUAGUGUAAGAACUAGUGGAGGACCGAACCCGCUAGCGUUGAAAAGCUAUGGGAUGACUUGUGGAUAGGGGUGAAAGGCCAAUCAAACUUCGUGAUAGCUGGUUCUCUCCGAAAUAUAUUU
rnacentral:rRNA from 1 species